AGGUAGCAAAGCCAUCAGUAAACAUAAAUUCAAUGUCUGGAACCAGGCACAUCUGAUUCCUGCGAAUGAUGAGACAAGGAGACAAGGAGAUCCCACCAGGGACUACAGGCCACUCACUAACCUGUCUGUGACUUACCAGUACCGUAAUACCUGCCCUACAGCGGGAGAACUAUCCGUUGUGGAUUUCCUGUCAAAGCUUUCAUUUUCUACUGUGCUGGAAUCUACAGCAAGUCUGCAUUCCCUGGUUCCUGCCGACAUGUCCACCUCUGCUGAUUAAGACCCUUCAGGAGCCACAGUCAGCAGUUAGGCAAUGGGCCUGUUUGAAAGCUAACACCACAACAUGAUGAUUCACCAAGUUUUUCAGUCUUGAGAACUUAAAAUCUCACAAAACCUGGACUUCCUGGCUUGGGUUAUUCACUGGAGCUGUGCUUCCCUUCCCAGGUCCUGUGCUGGCUUCGAGUCUUAGGAUGCAGGGAACUGGGCGAAGGGAGAGAUGAGAAGUCUCCGGCAAUCCAUUCAGACAUGGACCCCAAAGUUUUGUGGGGCAACCUUUUGACAGGUUCUGGGACUCCAGCUGAAGAACUAAAGCUAGAAAAUUCACUUAUUUGACAUUCAAGGUGUUUAAGUUCCCAAAUACAGCAAAGAGGUUAUCAGAUUUUCACUUACACCAUAAAAGGAUGGUGCAAGCAGAACUACUUGCCACUAACAAGCCAGAAAAAAGAAAAAGUGUGAAAGAAAUGUGUUGAAAGUACAUAAUUUGAAAUAAUUCUUGGAUU